UGUAUCGCGUACCGACCCGACAGGCUGGU
rnacentral:sRNA from 1 species